GACGAACGCUGGCGGCGUGCUUAACACAUGCAAGUCGAGCGGACAGGCCCUGCUUUUGCGGGGUGCUCGUGUGGCGAACGGGUGAGUAACACGUGAGUAAACUGCCCUUGACUGUGGGAUAACUUCAGGAAAAAGGGGAUAAUAUCGGGUAGGAGCUCCUGAUGCAUGUGGGGGGUAGGAGAGAUUCGGCGGUGGGGGAUGGACUAGAGGGUUAUCAGCUUGUUGGGGGGGUAGUGACUGACAAAGGGUUUGACGGGUAGCCGGCCUGAGAGGGCGACCGGCCACAAUGGGCCUGAGAUACGGCCCAGACGCCUACGGGAGGCAGUAGUGGGGAAUAUUGCGCAAUGGGCGGACGCCUGAUGCAGCAAUGCCGCGUGCGGGAUGCCGGGCUUCGAGUUAUAAACCUAUUUCGCCUGUGACGAAGCGUGAGUGACGGUAAUGGGUAAGGAAGCACCGGCUAACUACGUG
rnacentral:rRNA from 1 species